UACGAAGGGGGCUAGCGUUGCUCGGAAUCACUGGGCGUAAAGCGCACGUAGGCGGAUUGUUAAGUCAGGGGUGAAAUCCUGGAGCUCAACUCCAGAACUGCCUUUGAUACUGGCGAUCUCGAGUCCGGGAGAGGUGAGUGGAACUGCGAGUGUAGAGGUGAAAUUCGUAGAUAUUCGGCAAGAACACCAGUGGCGAGGCGGACUCACUGGCCCGGUACUGACGCUGAGGUGCGAAAGCGUGGGGAGCAAACAGG
rnacentral:rRNA from 1 species